rnacentral:rRNA from 1 species
CCCUUAGAUGUUCUGGGCCGCACGCGCGCUACACUGACGCAUUCAACGAGCCUAUCCUUGACCGACAGGUCCGGGUAAUCUUUGAAUCUGCAUCGUGACGGGGAUAGAUUAUUGCAAUUAUUAAUCUUCAACGAGGAAUGCCUAGUAGGCGCAAGUCAUCAGCUUGCGUCGAUUACGUCCCUGCCCUUUGUACACACCGCCCGUCGCUCCUACCGAUUGGGUGUGCUGGUGAAAUGUUCGGAUCGGCCGUUUGUCGCGGUUUCCGCGUCAUGUGGCUGAGAAGUUCAUUAAACCCUCCCACCUAGAGGAAGGAGAAGUCGUAACA